rnacentral:rRNA from 1 species
CUGCGACCGGCUCAUCUUUCUGUCGGGGACGGGCUCCUGGGCUUCACUGUCUGGGACUCGGAGUCGACGAGGUGACCUUGAGCAAACAAGAGUGUUCAAAGCAAGCCUACGCUCUGAAUUAUUUAGCAUGGAAUCACACGAUAGGACUCUGGCCUAUCUUGUUGGUCUGUAGGACCGGAGUAAUGAUUAAGAGGGACAGUCGGGGGCAUUCGUAUUUCAUUGUCAGAGGUGAAAUUCUUGGAUUUAUGAAAGACGAACUUCUGCGAAAGCAUUUGCCAAGGAUGUUUUCAUUGAUCAAGAACGAAAGUUGGGGGCUCGAAGACGAUUAGAUACCGUCGUAGUCUCAACCAUAAACGAUGCCGACUAGGGAUUGGCAGGUGUUCCAUUGAUGACCCUGCCAGCACCUUAUGAGAAAUCAAAGUUUUUGGGUUCCGGGGGGAGUAUGGUCGCAAGGCUGAAACUUAAAGGAAUUGACGGAAGGGCACCACCAGGCGUGGAGCCUGCGGCUUAAUUUGACUCAACACGGGGAAACUUACCAGGUCCAGACACGGGGAGGAUUGACAGAUUGAGAGCUCUUUCUUGAUUCUGUGGGUGGUGGUGCAUGGCCGUUCUUAGUUGGUGGGUUGCCUUGUCAGGUUGAUUCCGGUAACGAACGAGACCUCAGCCUGCUAAAUAGUCACGCGUACCCCGGUACGUG